rnacentral:rRNA from 1 species
CCUACGGGUGGCAGCAGUGGGGAAUAUUGGACAAUGGGGGGAACCCUGAUCCAGCGACGCCGCGUGAGUGAAGAAGUAUUUCGGUAUGUAAAGCUCUAUCAGCAGGGAAGAAAAUGACGGUACCUGACUAAGAAGCCCCGGCUAAAUACGUGCCAGCAGCCGCGGUAAUAAGUAGGGGGCAAGCGUUAUCCGGAUUUACUGGGUGGAAAGGGAGCGUAGACGGUGCAGCAAGUCUGAUGUGAAAGGUCGGGGCGCAACCCUGGGACUGCAUUGGAAACUGUUUAACUUGAGUACAGGAGAGGUGAGCGGAAGUCCUAGUGUAGCGGUGAAAUGCGUAGAUAUUAGGAGGAACACCAGUGGCGAAGGCGGCUUACUGGACUGUAACUGACGUUGAGGCUCGAAAGCGUGGGGAGCAAACAGGAGUAGAUACCCGAGUAGUC